rnacentral:rRNA from 1 species
UACGUAGGAGACGAGCGUUGUCCGGAAUUACUGGGGCGUAAAGCGCGUGUAGGCGGAUGAGCAAGUCUGCUGUGAAAGCUCCUGGCUUAACCGGGGAGUGGUCGGGUGGAAACUGCUCGUCUGGAGGACGGUAGAGGUAGGUAGAAUUCCCGGUGUAGUGGUGAAAUGCGUAGAUAUCGGGGAGGAACACCAGUGGCGAAGGCGGCCAUCUGGGGACAACACUGACGCUGAGGCACGAAAGCGUGGGGGAGCAAACAGG